CGGGGCGUAGCGCAGCCCGGUAGCGCGUCUGGUUUGGGACCAGAAGGUCCCGGGUUCAAAUCCCGGCGCCCCGA
rnacentral:tRNA from 1 species